rnacentral:rRNA from 1 species
AGUUUGAUCCUGGCUCAGAUUGAACGCUGGGGGAAUGCCUUACACAUGCAAUUCGAACGGCACCACGGGAGCAAUCCUGGUGGCGAGUGGCGAACGGGUGAUGAAUACAUUAAAACGUGCCCAAUCGUGGGGGAUAACGUAGCGAAAGCUACGCUAAUACCGCAUACGAUCUACGGAUGAAAGCAGGGGAUCGCAAGACCUUGCGCGAAUGGAGCGUCCGAUGGCAGAUUACGGAGUUGGGGGGGUCAAGGCUCACCAAGCCUUCGAUCUGAAGCUGGUCUGAGAGGACGACCACCCACACUGGGACUGAGACACCGCCCACACUCCUACGGGAGGGGCGUUGGGGAAUUUGGGACAAUGGGCGCAAGCCUGAUCCAGCCAUUCAGCUUGCAGGAUGAAGGCCUUCGGGUUUUAAGCUGCUUUUGGACCAAACUCAAAGCCGCUUUCUAAUAUAGAGCGGUCAUGUUGGUACCAUAAGAAUAUAUACCGGCUAAAUACGCGCC